rnacentral:rRNA from 1 species
AUGGCAUCCGCCUACGACCGCACGGCCGACCUCCGCGCGCUGGACGCCACCUGCUCCGGCGUCCGCGGCCUCGUCGCCUCCGGCGUCACGCGCCUCCCCCGCAUCUUCCGCGUUCCCUACGGCGUCCACCGACCACAACCACCUCCACCGCACGCCCCAUCCCAAGAAGCGCCGUCCGUCCCCGUGAUCGACCUCAGUGGCGCCGACCGCGCGGCCGUGGUCGCGGCCGUCCGCGGGGCCGCGGCGGAGUGGGGGUUCUUCCAGGUGACGGGGCACGGGGUGCCGGAGGCGGCGAUGGCCGCGGCGACGGGCGCGGUGCGGGGCUUCCACGAGGCCGGCGGCGGCGAGGGCAGCGACAAGGCCAGGCUCUACUCGCGCGAGCCGGCGAGGGCGGUCAAGUACCACUGCAACUUCGACCUGUACCAGUCGCCGGUGGCCAACUGGCGCGACACGCUCUACCUCCGCAUGGCCCCCGACCCGCCCGACGCCGGCGACCUGCCGGACAGCUGCCGUGAUGCUCUGUUUGAAUACGCCGAACAAGUGAAGAAUUUGGGGAACACUUUAUUCGAGCUACUCUCAGAAGCUCUUGGGCUCAAAUCGAGUUACCUGACAGAUAUAGAGUGCAACCAAGGACAGAUCAUACUCUGUCACUAG